AAGACUAUAGACCUGCGGAGUACCUGCGGAAGGAUCAUUACUGAGUGAGGGCCCUCUGGGUCCAACCUCCCACCCGUGUUUAACGAACCUUGUUGCUUCGGCGGGCCCGCCUCACGGCCGCCGGGGGGCAUCCGCCCCCGGGCCCGCGCCCGCCGAAGACACCUGUGAACUCUGUCUGAAGUUGCAGUCUGAGAAACUAUUUAAAUUAGUUAAAACUUUCAACAAUGGAUCUCUAGAUCG
rnacentral:misc_RNA from 1 species